rnacentral:rRNA from 1 species
AUUGAACGCUGGCGGCAUGCUUUACACAUGCAAGUCGAACGGUAACAGGUUAAGCUGACGAGUGGCGAACGGGUGAGUAAUGCAUCGGAACGUGCCCGAUCGUGGGGGAUAACGCAGCGAAAGCUGCGCUAAUACCGCAUACGAUCUGAGGAUGAAAGCGGGGGACCGUAAGGCCUCGCGCGAUCGGAGCGGCCGAUGGCAGAUUAGGUAGUUGGGGGGGUAAAGGCUCACCAAGCCGACGAUCUGUAGCUGGUGUGAGAGGACGACCAGCCCGCCUGGGACUGAGAAGCGGCCCAGACUCAUACGGGAGGCAGCAGUGGGGUAUUUUGGACAAUGGGCGGAAGCCUGGUCCAGCAAUGCCGCGUGCAGGAAGAAGGCCUUCGGGUUGUAAACUGCUUUUGUACGGAGCGAAAAGGCUCUCUCUAAUACAGGGGGCUCAUGACGGUACCGUAAGAGUAAGCACCGGCUAACUACGUGCCAGCAGCCGCGGUAA